UUGACGGGGCCCGCACAAGCGGUGGAGCAUGUGGUUUAAUUCGAAGCAACGCGAAGAACCUUACCAGGUCUUGACAUCCCCUGACAACCCGAGAGAUCGGGCGUUCCCCUUCGGGGGACAGGGUGACAGGUGGUGCAUGGUUGUCGUCAGCUCGUGUCGUGAGAUGUUGGGUUAAGUCCCGCAACGAGCGCAACCCUCGACCUUAGUUGCCAGCAUUCAGUUGGGCACUCUAAGGUGACUGCCGGCUAAAAGUCGGAGGAAGUGGGGAUGACGUCAAAUCAUCAUGCCCCUUAUGACCUGGGCUACACACGUGCUACAAUGGGCGGUACAAAGGGUCGCGAACCCGCGAGGGGGAGCCAAUCCCAAAAAGCCGCUCUCAGUUCGGAUUGCAGGCUGCAACUCGCCUGCAUGAAGAUGGAGUUGCUAGUAACCGCAGGUCAGCUAUACUGCGGUGAAUACGUUCCCGGGGCUU
rnacentral:rRNA from 1 species